AAAAAAAACAUUUAUAAAAGGGGAUUUGUUAAAUAGUGGACUUGGGGGCAGACUGUUUGUUUCAGGCCAGUCGAGUUUGAACGCAGGCAGCAGGUGGAGGAAAUUAAUCGCUUAGGGCCCGCUGAGGUUCAAUAGAAUCUGGGAUCGCAUAAACGAAUGGGAAGUUGUUUUUGCAGGGAGCUAUUGUGUUCCUGUUGUUUACCAAACAGUAGCCAGAGUGCAUAAGGCACCGAAACAGCUCUGUGGAAAUCAAAAUGGAGGCCUGAUAUCCACUUAUCGUUUGUUACAGUAUGUUCUCUUGCGGUGUUCUAAUCGCUCAGCAGCCUGUUAAAAUGUCACAAUUAAAUGCUCCAAUCAAUUCAAUAAAACAUUUGUGGUGGAAUUCUAAUCCAUUCAAGCGAUGGAAUAAUAUUCAAUUUGUGAAACAAUAGACAUAACUAUUGUUUUACCUCCCCCAGAACUUUCCGGUUGGCGGUUUUAAUUUAAUAGGACCAUAAGUCUCAAUUUCCUGUUACACCUAACAGUCAUUUAGCUUCAGUGGGCAGUAACUUCACUGGGAAUCUUGGAUCAUUAGAUCUCCUAGCUUGUGUCGGGGAGCAUUGCUUUAUUUCUGUGUGCAUCUAUGUGCUUGUGUCUUGUCGUUGGAGUGGAUGCCCAGGUGAGACCCACAGAGUACAUUCAUAGAGGAUUCAUAAAGAGGGUUAUAGUUGCAUAUAGAUUUCAAGCUGUGUUGUCUAAAGUCUGGCUCUGUCUUGGGCUGUUUUGUGUGAUGGAAUGUAUGUGUAUCUUGUCCUGGUGCAGGCAGUGAGGGGGAGAGCAGUGCAGUGUCUAAUAAUGAGCCUGAUGUGGAGUACACUGAAGUGGUACACCGCCAACCUGUGGACCCUGCCAGAGUUCCCCUGAGAAAAGGGACAGAAACGGUGUGCAGUGAAGUCCAGAACUCCCCAACCAGUGCACCCGGUGACCAUUACCACUAUCAGGGUACGCCGAUCUCAACGGUGACCAACCGGAGGUCAACCAGGACCUGCUGGAGGUCAAUCGCCAGGACCACCGUGACCUGGAGUAAAGGUUACCUCUGAUCCCUCACGACCCCUCACACUAGGACCACAAACUAAAUGAUCCCCACCUCUGCCUCCAACUUUAACCACAGUCCUUAUUUCCAUAUUGUUCUUGUAUUCUGUACAUUUUCCCUAUAAGGAAAAUUGUUGACUCAUGUAAGCUGUAGAUAUUUUGCAUAAUUUUAUAGCCAAAUAAAAUCACAUCCUAAUUAGGACUUACUGUGUAGUUCUAUCAUACCUUAUAUACUCUUUGUUUACCUUUUCAUCAUAUCUCAUAACCAUAGAGGUUGGUACAGAGUUCAGUUAGCCUGGCCCCUCCCUCGAAUGCAGUUCUCUUUGAUCUCCUAAAUGGACAGCAUGACACUUAUGCUCUGUCAUGAUGGCUAAAACAAUCCCCCUUUUAGACUUCCGUUGCAGGGCAGUGUGAGUGGACUGAUAACCUCCCUACUGUCACUAGACUGGGUCCACACCCAAACCAGAGCACACUCCUGUAGGGCCUUCCCUGAAUCACACUAUGGCAAUAACUAUGGAAAUAAAGAGUGAAUGUAAACAGAGGGAUCUGCAUGUCUCCAGCUGCUCAGCCUGAUGGUAUAUGGUGUUUGUGAUGUCACAUCCUGCCAGGCUAUGUCCAAGUGUGUCGAAAGUUGGAGGGAGAACAGUGUCAGGCCUGAAGUGACUCAGACAUACAGAAUUGUACAUGGUUUUAAAUUACCUUCUUACUGCGGUUACUGUUUUUGUAAGAUCAUACACAAAAUGAUCCAAGUAAAGUCAAGGUAAUGUUAAAACAAAAUCAAAUCUAUCUAAAAUUUGAGUAUCGUAUAUUACAUUAUUACGGUGUGUUAUGCAAUACGUUAUAUUAAUAGAGAAUGGUUACAAUCGUCCUGUAAAUUGCAACAUUACAACAUUGUAAGGGCUCCCAAGUGGCGCAGCAGUCACUGAAACGGAAACUAGCUCAGACAGCACACCUACUCUGAGACGUGUGUCAAAUACAUAACCCUGAUUCGGUUUUUGUUUAUUUUGGAGAGGAGAAUCCUAUUUGGUUGUUUUUGUGAAACUAUAAUAUAUUUAGGCCUAUGCCAUCUUAAACUUAGAGCUCUUGCAGAGUAACUCUGUCUUAAUAGAAAAAGAUAAACACCAUUUUCACACCUUAAAAACGCGUCCAUACAACUGUGACGUCUUCGUAGACCUCCAUUGAGUUUUACUUCCUCGAGUACGGUGCAUGAUGUCUAUUCUGUGUUGUUUACGAACAUGUCAGCUAACACCGAGACAUACUCUCGUAAUCAUCUCUCAUUUUCUCGACAACAGAACCUACAGUCAAUUACCUAUCUGUCAGCUAACACCGAGACAUACUCUCGUAAUCAUCUCUCAAUGUCUCGACAACAGAACCUACAGUCAAUUAUCUAUCUAAAUCGUAAUUUCCUCUUUGAUAACCUCAAGGCCAUUGUGGAACUGCAAUUACAGCAUUGUCAUGGCAACCACAAAUAAACGCUCUUCGAUCUUAGUUCCAUUUACAUAAUGUCCCCAGCUCUCGCUCUCGCUCUCUCUCUCUGUCUCUCUCUCUCUGUCUCUCUCUCUCUCUGUCUGUCUGUCAUCGUGGUCAGAAGCCUGUUAGACUAAUUCAAGGACAUUAGCAGAAUGGCCAUAACAUCGCUUGAGUGCUUCGAUAGCAGGCCUUGUGUUAAUGUAAUCAUGGCGCUGUGCUUUUGGAUGAAUAAAUUCGGUUAAUUUGUGCGCACCAUUUUUCACAUCUAGAAUGGGAAGUGGAAUAAUAUGUUUUGCUGGGUCAGACAAGAUGAGAGUAGCCUAUAAUAUGAUAGUAAUAUGACUUAUGUACCAAGUAGCAUUGUUUUCUAGCUCAAACAUAUAGCAUCAUUGGCCCAAUGAAAUGGCAGGGACCAGGGUGACAGUCACAGUGCUCAUGCAUCCUUCUAUUUGAAAUAUAAUUAGCAUAUUGACUUACAGACAAAAUAAAACAAUAGAUAAACAUCUUGCCACCCUUCACACCCAAUACUAUUGUUCCUGCCCUGUAAGCACUGUGAGUGUUGCUAAUACUGGCAUGUGGUGAAUGGGUGUGGAGAGAAACAUGUAUAUUUGUUUUGUCUAUCUGUCAUUACAGAGUAGCCUACUUAGUACCUACAGUGUGUUUGCAUUAAUGGAAGUAGAUUGAACUGACUGUGAAAACAGGGCGGAAAAUAAUUAACUCGCACGAUGGUAGUUGAGAUGGUGUGGAGCAACAGAGCAACUGUCAAAUCAGUUUCUCAGUCAAUCGUGUGACAGAUUAGAUGACUGUGAGAAGAGCUGGCACCCUUUAAUGCGAUGUUAGUCAUGACACCUGCUAGUAUUUGCACAUAACACAAAUUCACAACUUUUCUGCUUAUCUGCCUUUGUUUGGAAGGAAAAGACAUCUAUGUAAACGGCAUUACGGUGCCAAACAUUUAAGAAUUCUGUUAUCUGAAAUUAAGCAAGGGAAUUCAAUUAAACGGACUAUCGUGCACUGUAACUAAUAGACAGGUGUGAAUUACACCUCUUAGAUCCAUGCACGUUAUUUCUUUGAAAGGUCGAUGAAAAGUAUUGUCAUCUGGGUUCAAAAUAAAAUUGUGGGCAAAAGCAAUGAAUACAAGAACUUAACAAAGGCUGCAACCUGUCUGAAAGAAGUGCCCUGUCUGAAAGAAGUGCCCUGUCUGAAAGAAGUGCCCUGUCUGAAAGAAGUGCCCUGUCUGAAAGAAGUGCCCUGUCUGAAAGAAGUGCCCUGUCUGCCCUGUCUGAAAGAAGUGCCCUGUCUGAAAGAAGUGCCCUGUCUGAAAGAAGUGCCCUGUCUGCCCUGUCUGAAAGAAGUGCCCUGUCUGAAAGAAGUGCCCUGUCUGCCCUUGCCCACGGGGCAGUGAAAGAACACCAGUUUGUCACUGCUAUGCUGGCAGUUAGAUUGUUUCCACGUCUUUAUCUGGUCUAUUUGCAUUUAUUCAGCUCAACUGUUAAAAUGGACUUUGUGUAAGCUUUAUUUGCCCUAAGCCAUCUUUAUUAAAUAUAUACUGAAAAUGCACAAUUUAUGACUGACUCGGUUGUAAGCGUAUGUAUGUUUUUCAUCAGUGUUUCAGUAUUGACCAAUACUGUGACUAGCUUUCAGUGCACUCAAGGGCAAUACAUAGCCAAUUAGCUGCAAGAGGUUUUGUUAGUCAUCACCAGCACACGGUCACAAUCAUGCCUAAAAGAUCACAAGACAAUCUAGGUCUAAGAUCCCUCCCAAUGUGUUCUCCAAUGUCAUAAAUCAUUUUAUGAAAAGGCUCAGUGUAGAGUAGUGUAUUUGUCGAAAAUCAAAGGUGAGGAAUGAAAAAUAAAUGAAAGGUGUCCCUUUUGAUAAGAGGUCAAGGAACACAACACUUGUCUGUAGGUCAAAUGUUCUAUAUCUAUCACAGGAAAUAGUCAUCCAAAAUCAGUGUAAUAAAGCAUUUCUAAUAGCCUACUAUGGACGAGGGACACGUCUCGGAACACACAACAUGUAUAACUACUGCUGUGUACACCUUUUCAAGUUUCAAGUUUGAAUGUAACGUGCACAAGUACAGUGAAAUGCUUUUCUUGCAAGCACCAAACCCAGCAAUGUAGUAAUGAAUAAUAAUGUAGCACUAAAAAUAACACAAGGUAGAACAACAACACAAAAAUAGGAAAUAGGAACACAAAGUAAGAAGCUAUACAGGGUCAAUUCUAUAUUCAUAUCCUGUCCAUAUUGUCUAAACACAUCUAUAUAUAUAUACAUAUACACAUACAUAU